CUGUUCCUCUGGGGCCCUAGCUGCACGGACUUUUCCUGGCCCGAGAUCAAAUUUCACUUUUGUGUGCACAGUUCCUCUGGCUCACACACGGCUCCCCUCUCCCGCAAGGAGUGUGUCGGUCCUGUGUGCACUCUCAGCUGAACUUCUGGAGGGCAGGCACGUCAGUGUUGGCUAGCCCAGUGCCAGGGUCUCCGUGGCUGCUUCUCCAGGCCGGUGCACGGAUGCUUCCCUGCAGAAAUGUAACGGUAACCUCCAUGGCACAUUCCCUGUAUGCAAGGCAGUGUCCAGACGCAUGGAAAUGCCGGGUUAGGAAAUGCUGAGUGAGCUGAAGCCUGGCCUGCGGGGUGUGUGGGUCGUGGAGGAGGCCAGCAGGACCAACACGCUCUGUGUUUACUCAGCUGUGGCCCAGCCCCGCUGCGAUGCCAUCCGAACUGUCCCGAGCCGCCAUGCCCAGCAAGGUGGCCGUGAACGCUGGCGCACAGCGAGGGAGGGCGGCGACGCGCUGGAACGCUGGGAGUAGCCUAUACAGCAAAGCUCAUGGCAUCGUCCCAAGGACGCAGCGGUGCUUUCUCAGUCGGCGAGGUCAUUCGAGGGAAAGUCUGAUAAAGCUAAGACAUACCAACGAGAUUUCCAGCAGAGGUGGUUUGACUCCGUCCCACUGACGCCUCUUCACCAGGCGCCCCGUGCGCCCCGGCUGGGAUUAGAGCCGGUCACGCCAGCCUCCCUGCGAUGGAGCCGAGACAGCCCCUCCCAGCUCAGCCACACGACCAGCCCUACGCCCAGCAACCAGGUCAGGAGUCCCUGUGCCUGUCCAGCCGGCCAAGGUGAUGCCACGCACACAUUGUCAGGGAUGUAAGAGCCUGCCGCUCUCCAGUCAGGCACGGUGACGCUGAGUUGGGAGCUGGGAGGCCGACCCCAGCAGUGCCUCCACCGGGGAAGCUACGGUCCCCAGCUUGCAAGCGUCUGGCCUCGUGCGAGGCUCACCCACCACCUUGCAGAACAAAUGGAUCCGAUUCCACAGGAGAAACAAGGACAUUAGGCAGAGGAGCUGUUUCCUUUUUCAAAUGGUGUCAAAGGAACUCAGCAGGAACGGCCCUAUCUUCCCUCCCCCCAGAAUGACCACUACUGUGAUUUCACCUUAAAAUAGAUGGGGAGGAGUCAGCCCAUCGGGCGUUAACAGUCCUGAGACAUCAGCAACUCUGCUAAGACGCUUCGUGUCACAUUUCUCUGGAUUGGAAGUCAGGGUUUCUCCCCCAUUUUGUGGUUGGUUCUAGAAUCAGAAUUCCACGAAGAGGCCCCUGGAGGACUCCGGAGGUUGCAGGUCCUGGUCAUUGGCAGUAACUGACACCCCCUCUGUGAUCGUGGCCUGGGGAAGGCUUUCUUUCCCGAGUGGUCACCAGCAGGCGCUGCCCCGAACGCCACUUUGGGGGCUGCUACGUCAGAGGGUAAACGGAGUCCUAGCAUAUGGGGACGUGUCAGGGGGGAGAUGGGGUGACAGUGGCAGGCUUUCUUCUUGACUCUAGUUAGAAAAUGUUUCAAUAAGAGCAAGUUUUAUUUAAAUAUAAUUUAUGUAGCAUUUCCCCCUGAAGGAUAGGAAUCUCUUCUGGACCUCAUAAAUACCUAAAGAGACUUUUUAGUUUCUUUCCAUGAAUUUCUUCACUAUUAAUAGGAAUUUUUUAAAAAAUGAUUGUGAUUUCCUAAUGUGGACAUUAUGUAUCUAAUGUGGGUAUUAGUUUAUCUAAAAUUAAAUAUGCUUCCUUAUAAUAUAGGUUGCUUGAAAGAAUCUUCCUUCUAAAUUAUUAUGGUCAGCUUUUUAAAAAAAAAUAAAGUAUUU
ensembl:lncRNA